UGGGGAAUAUUGCACAAUGGGCGCAAGCCUGAUGCAGCGACGCCGCGUGGGGGAUGACGGCCUUCGGGUUGUAAACUCCUUUCGCUAGGGACGAAGCUUUUUGUGACGGUACCUAGAUAAGAAGCACCGGCUAACUACGUGCCAGCAGCCGCGGUAAUACGUAGGGUGCGAGCGUUGUCCGGAAUUACUGGGCGUAAAGGGCUCGUAGGUGGUUUGUCGCGUCGUCUGUGAAAUUCCGGGGCUUAACUCCGGGCGUGCAGGCGAUACGGGCAUAACUUGAGUACUGUAGGGGUAACUGGAAUUCCUGGUGUAGCGGUGAAAUGCGCAGAUAUCAGGAGGAACACCGAUGGCGAAGGCAGGUUACUGGGCAGUUACUGACGCUGAGGAGCGAAAGCAUGGGUAGCUAACAGG
rnacentral:rRNA from 1 species